rnacentral:rRNA from 1 species
AACGAACGCUGGCGGCAUGCCUAACACAUGCAAGUCGAACGAGACCUUCGGGUCUAGUUGCGCACGGGUGCGUAACGCGUGGGAACCUGCCCUUAGGUUCGGAAUAACUCCCCGAAAGGGGUGCUAAUACCGGAUAAUGUCUUCGGACCAAAGAUUUAUCGCCUUUGGAUGGGCCCGCGUUGGAUUAGCUAGUUGGUAGGGUAAAAGCCUACCAAGGCGACGAUCCAUAGCUGGUUUGAGAGGAUGAUCAGCCACACUGGGACUGAGACACGGCCCAGACUCCUACGGGAGGCAGCAGUGGGGAAUAUUGGACAAUGGGCGAAAGCCUGAUCCAGCAAUGCCGCGUGAGUGAUGAAGGCCUUAGGGUUGUAAAGCUCUUUUACCCGGGAUGAUAAUGACAGUACCGGGAGAAUAAGCUCCGGCUAACUCCGUG